GGGCCAAUGAAUACGACAGAGUAUCCCUCCUGCAGUUAGGUUACCUUAGGUGAGGUCAAGGGAUCUGGUAGAUGUAAGUAAGCUCUCCUCUUACAGAGUUACCGGUUAUCUACAAACUUCUGAAAAUCAGGGAUCUAAGAAU